rfam:Camelus ferus unplaced genomic scaffold scaffold743, whole genome shotgun sequence.
GAGGGUAUAGCUCAAAUGGUAGGAGCACAUGCUUAGCAUGCACGAGGUCCUGGGUUCAAUCCCCAGUACCUCCA